UACGUAGGGUGCAAGCGUUAAUCGGAAUUACUGGGCGUAAAGCGUGCGCAGGCGGUUUUGUAAGUCUGUCGUGAAAGCCCCGGGCUUAACCUGGGAAUUGCGAUGGAGACUGCAAGGCUUGAAUCUGGCAGAGGGGGGUAGAAUUCCACGUGUAGCAGUGAAAUGCGUAGAGAUGUGGAGGAACACCGAUGGCGAAGGCAGCCCCUGGGCCAAUACUGACGCUCGAUGCACGAAAGCGUGGGGAGCAAACAGG
rnacentral:rRNA from 1 species